rnacentral:rRNA from 1 species
GAUGAACGCUGGCUACAGGCUUAACACAUGCAAGUCGAGGGGAAACGACGGGGAAGCUUGCUUCCCCGGGCGUCGACCGGCGCACGGGUGAGUAACGCGUAUCCAACCUGCCUCUGACUGAGGGAUAACCCGUCGAAAGUCGGCCUAAUACCUCAUGGCAUCGUCUGCGGGCAUCCAACGACGAUUAAAGAUUUCAUCGGUCAGGGAUGGGGAUGCGUCUGAUUAGCUUGUUGGCGGGGUAACGGCCCACCAAGGCUACGAUCAGUAGGGGUUCUGAGAGGAAGGUCCCCUAGAUUGGAACGAAGACCCGGUCCAAACUCCUACGGGAGGCAGCAGUGAGGAAUAGUGGUCAAUGGGCGGGAGCCUGAACCAGCCAAGUAGCGUGCAGGAUGACGGCCCUAUGGGUUGUAAACUGCUUUUAUGCGGGGAUAAAGUGAGGGACGUGUCCUUCAUUGCAGGUACCGCAUGAAUAAGGACCGGCUAAUUCCGUG